rnacentral:rRNA from 1 species
UACAGAGACCUCAAGCGUUAUCCGGAAUCAUUGGGCGUAAAGCGUGCCGAUAGGUGGUUUUACAAGUCAGAAGUGAAAUCUCUCAGCUUAACUGGGAGACUGUCUUUUGAAACUGUAAAACUAGAGGGGCAAAGAGGAAGCUGGAACGAACGGUGUAGUAGUGAAAUGCGUUGAUAUCGUUCGGAACACCAAUAGCGUAGGCAGGCUUCUGGGUGCCACCUGACACUGCUAGGACGAAAGCGUGGGGAGCGAAUGGG